AAAUUGAAGAGUUUGAUCAUGGCUCAGAUUGAACGCUGGCGGCAGGCCUAACACAUGCAAGUCGAGCGGUAGCACAGAGAGCUUGCUCUCGGGUGACGAGCGGCGGACGGGUGAGUAAUGUCUGGGAAACUGCCUGAUGGAGGGGGAUAACUACUGGAAACGGUAGCUAAUACCGCAUAACGUCGCAAGACCAAAGUGGGGGACCUUCGGGCCUCAUGCCAUCAGAUGUGCCCAGAUGGGAUUAGCUAGUAGGUGGGGUAACGGCUCACCUAGGCGACGAUCCCUAGCUGGUCUGAGAGGAUGACCAGCCACACUGGAACUGAGACACGGUCCAGACUCCUACGGGAGGCAGCAGUGGGGAAUAUUGCACAAUGGGCGCAAGCCUGAUGCAGCCAUGCCGCGUGUGUGAAGAAGGCCUUCGGGUUGUAAAGCACUUUCAGCGGGGAGGAAGGCGGUGAGGUUAAUAACCUCAUCGAUUGACGUUACCCGCAGAAGAAGCACCGGCUAACUCCGUGCCAGCAGCCGCGGUAAUACGGAGGGUGCAAGCGUUAAUCGGAAUUACUGGGCGUAAAGCGCACGCAGGCAGUCUGUCAAGUCGGAUGUGAAAUCCCCGGGCUCAACCUGGGAACUGCAUUCGAAACUGGCAGGCUAGAGUCUUGUAGAGGGGGGUAGAAUUCCAGGUGUAGCGGUGAAAUGCGUAGAGAUCUGGAGGAAUACCGGUGGCGAAGGCGGCCCCCUGGACAAAGACUGACGCUCAGGUGCGAAAGCGUGGGGAGCAAACAGGAUUAGAUACCCUGGUAGUCCACGCCGUAAACGAUGUCGAUUUGGAGGUUGUGCCCUUGAGGCGUGGCUUCCGGAGCUAACGCGUUAAAUCGACCGCCUGGGGAGUACGGCCGCAAGGUUAAAACUCAAAUGAAUUGACGGGGGCCCGCACAAGCGGUGGAGCAUGUGGUUUAAUUCGAUGCAACGCGAAGAACCUUACCUGGUCUUGACAUCCACAGAACUUUCCAGAGAUGGAUUGGUGCCUUCGGGAACUGUGAGACAGGUGCUGCAUGGCUGUCGUCAGCUCGUGUUGUGAAAUGUUGGGUUAAGUCCCGCAACGAGCGCAACCCUUAUCCUUUGUUGCCAGCGGUUCGGCCGGGAACUCAAAGGAGACUGCCAGUGAUAAACUGGAGGAAGGUGGGGAUGACGUCAAGUCAUCAUGGCCCUUACGACCAGGGCUACACACGUGCUACAAUGGCAUAUACAAAGAGAAGCGACCUCGCGAGAGCAAGCGGACCUCAUAAAGUAUGUCGUAGUCCGGAUUGGAGUCUGCAACUCGACUCCAUGAAGUCGGAAUCGCUAGUAAUCGUAGAUCAGAAUGCUACGGUGAAUACGUUCCCGGGCCUUGUACACACCGCCCGUCACACCAUGGGAGUGGGUUGCAAAAGAAGUAGGUAGCUUAACCUUCGGGAGGGCGCUUACCACUUUGUGAUUCAUGACUGGGGUGAAGUCGUAACAAGGUAACCGUAGGGGAACCUGCGGUUGGAUCACCUCCUUA
rnacentral:rRNA from 1 species